GACCUGAGCCAAUCGGACGCUUAGCUGACCGCGCCCCCCAGGCGCUCCAGAACACUCUAUCUGACACAAGGUGCACUGCGUUUUAUACACACGAGCCCGGCAAGUUGUGUCCCGCCGGGAAGUCCCAGGAGACACCAACGGGGCGAAGUCUGGUUUGAGCGGGCCGGCUUCCAGCACCGCCGCUUCGGAUGUCCGUUUGCUCCGACAUCGACCAUCCCCUGGGCUGGAGGGGGGUGACCUCGUCUGCGCUGGGGUCAGGAGUCCGCCGUGCCAGCUUCGUGACCGAUCACGACGCCAGCUCAGAGUCUCGACCCCUCCUGCCUGAGCGCUCCGCUCUUUGCUCUUGAGGAUUGUGGAACAGCCUCAGGGCCGGGCAUCUCCCGGCCUGUGCUUCUGGAAGAGAGAGUCCCAUGCUUGUCCUGCCCCUGGCGAGACCCGGGCUGUGGGUGCACGUCUUCCCCUGGAGCGGCCUUGCUCGGGCGAGCAGACGCUUGGGUCUCCUGUCCCUUCUCUCUGUCACUGCUGCCUUCCUGUUCUGGCACAUUCUGGGAAAUGGUCCCUGAGAGUCAAGUGGGCAAUGUGGUGGGGAGGGGGCGGGUUGGGGCUGACUUCUCAGACCCCGGGGGUUCCUGGGGCAUCUUGCACUCGGGAGGGCAGGGACAGUCUGAGUGAUGGGGAACGUGAAGACGCAGGGGCUGGCUUCCAGCACCGGCAGAGAGCCCAGCCGCUCGCCGCUCUCCGGAGGACAGAGCUUUGCGGAUCAGGGAUGCUGAGUCACGGCCGGCAGCGGGGGUGGAGGAGGCAGGACAGGACGGCAGACACAACACAGUCGUCCAGUAGGCACGAGAGCAAGUUCCCAGCCGCUGUCCUACAGAAGUCCCCACCGCUCAGGCUGUCAUCAUAGGCUGCGUGUCCCUCCCGGAUGCACGUGUGGAAGCCCAGGCCCCCCGCACCUCAGAGCGGGACUGCAUUCGGAGAUGGGGUCUUUCCAGCAGUGAUGAGGCUAAAAUACGACCGUUGGGGUGGGCCUGGCCCCGUAUGACUGUGUCCUCUGAGAGGGGAGACCGCAGGAGGACAUGGGGCAGACGGCGUCCACGCGCCCAGGAGAGAGGCCUCGGGAGGAGCUGGAUCCCAGUCUCCGGCCCCGGGGAACUGGGAAAGCGGGUGCCGUCGCAGCCGCCCGGUAGGCUGUGCUGUGUUUCGGCCGCCCAGACACGGAUGCAUCCGCGUGGCACGGAUUACAGAGAAUUUCGCUCCUGGGAGGUGAUCCCCCCAGCACUCCAGUGGGGUGCGGCAGGCUGGCACGUCACCCCCACGACGAGGGGCUCUGGUCCCACUGCGCACCAGGGGGGAGGAAAUCGCCCUUUGACCUUCCUUCGAGGGGCGUCACUAUGGGGCCAGGCCGGGGAGGCUGGUGGCCUUGGUGAGGCAGAGUCCUCCCCACCUGUGCUCCCGGCUCAGCUCUGCCGCGGCUCCCCACCCACCGCGGGCCUGACGCACACCCCUCCCGAGGUCCACGUGAUUACUUCGGGGAGCCCUGCUCUGUGCUGACAGUGCUGUGUUGCCCUGGCCUCGGCAGAUUGUCCACAACAAGGAAGCAUCUAGAAGCAACGGUCCCUCUGCGCCUUGUGAUUUGUCCUCAGAGUGUCCAAUGUGCCCGUCACUGCCUAGAGCCCCAUGCUUUGGCCUUCAAUGCAACACGUGCCAGUCUGGGACCAUCCCAGCCCCCUUCGUCUCCACGGGCACCUAGCAUGUUGCUGGAUGCCUGAUCUGCAGUGACUUGUGUUCAGGAAAGCUGCAUUUAAAAGAGAAUUCAAGGGGCGCCUGGGUGGCGCAGUCGGUUGGGCGUCCGACUUCA